GAGGGUAAAGCUCAGUGGUAGAGUGCGUGCUUAGCAUGCACGAGGUCCUGGGUUCAAUCCCCAGUACCUCCA
rnacentral:tRNA from 1 species